rnacentral:ribozyme from 11 species
AAAAAAAGAAGAAAAAUAGAGAGAGAGAGAAAAAGAGAGAGGAUGGAUUCCCAUCGGACUCCUUACCUGCUUUCUUUCUUUCUUUCCUUGGUCCUUCUUUUCU